rnacentral:rRNA from 1 species
AGCUCCAAUAGCGUAUAUUAAAGUUGUUGUGGUUAAAAAGCUCGUAGUUGGAUCUCGGCGGUCUGAGGGCGGUUCGCUUGAUUGAGUGCUACUGCUCUAUAGGCCGUGGUUUUGCCAGAGGUCUCGGGGUGCUCUUAACCGAGUGUCCUGCGAUGCUGGCAGGUUUACUUUGAAAAAAUUAGAGUGCUCAAAGCAGGCUUUUACGCCUGAAUAUUCGUGCAUGGAAUAAUAGAAUAGGAAGUCGUUUCUAUUUUGUUGGUUUUCGGAAAUCGACUUAAUGAUUAACAGGGACAGUCGGGGGCAUUUGUAUGCAUUUGUAUUCAAACGACAGAGGUGAAAUUCUUGGACCGUUUGAAGACAAACUACUGCGAAAGCAUUUGCCAAGAAUGUUUUCA